rnacentral:rRNA from 1 species
GUGGGGAAUAUUGGACAAUGGGCGCAAGCCUGAUCCAGCCAUGCCGCGUGUGUGAAGAAGGCCUUUUGGUUGUAAAGCACUUUAAGCGAGGAGGAGGCUCCUUUAGUUAAUACCUAAAGAGAGUGGACGUUACUCGCAGAAUAAGCACCGGCUAACUCUGUGCCAGCAGCCGCGGUAAUACAGAGGGUUCGAGCGUUAAUCGGAUUUACUGGGCGUAAAGCGUGCGUAGGCGGCUUUUUAAGUCGGAUGUGAAAUCCCUGAGCUUAACUUAGGAAUUGCAUUCGAUACUGGAAAGCUAGAGUAUGGGAGAGGAUGGUAGAAUUCCAGGUGUAGCGGUGAAAUGCGUAGAGAUCUGGAGGAAUACCGAUGGCGAAGGCAGCCAUCUGGCCUAAUACUGACGCUGAGGUACGAAAGCAUGGGGAGCAAACAGGAUUAGAUACCCCAGUAGUCC